GACGUGCCCUGCCAGCAGAUAGAGGACGCUCAGGCAACUUUGUCCUUAGGUUUGGUGGCACAUCAUUGGGAAAAUCUGGGAGAUUAAUUGGCCGCACUGGAGCCCUAGGCCGUGGAUUUGGGGAGCUGGGACGAGAUGAAGAUACUGUAUUUGCUGGAGCUCGAGGUCGUGGAUUUGGAGAGCUGGGACGAGAAGAAGAUGCUGAAUUUACUGGAGCCCGAGGCCGUGGAUUAGGAGAGCUGGGGCGAGAAGAAGAUGUUGAAUGUGGAACUCGACCAUUGCUAACUGGCAAACGCCCAACAGAUGGGGACCGCCCUACAGUCGAGGUUGGUGUUGUUGUUCGAGCAAUGGGCUGACGAGUGGGCGUUGAC
rnacentral:lncRNA from 1 species